rnacentral:rRNA from 1 species
UACGAAGGGGGCUAGCGUUGCUCGGAAUCACUGGGCGUAAAGGGUGCGUAGGCGGGUCUUUAAGUCAGGGGGGAAAUCCUGGAGCUCAACUCCAGAACUGCCUUUGAUACUGAAGAUCUUGAGUUCGGGAGAGGUGAGUGGAACUGCGAGUGUAGAGGUGAAAUUCGUAGAUAUUCGCAAGAACACCAGUGGCGAAGGCGGCCAACUGGACCAUUACUGACGCUGAGGCGCGAAAGCGUGGGGAGCAAACAGG